GCGUAGUUCGGAAUUACUGGGCUUAAAGAGUUCGUAGGUGGUUGAAAAGUUAGUGGUGAAAUCCCAGAGCUUAACUCUGGAACUGCCAUUAAAACUUUCAGCUAGAGUAUGAUAGAGGAAAGCAGAAUUUCUAGUGUAGAGGUGAAAUUCGUAGAUAUUAGAAAGAAUACCAAUUGCGAAGGCAGCUUUCUGGAUCAUUACUGACACUGAGGAACGAAAGCAUGGGUAGCGAAGAGGAUUAGAUACCCUCGUAGUCCAUGCCGUAAACGAUGUGUGUUAGACGUUGGAAAUUUAUUUUCAGUGUCGCAGGGAAACCGAUAAACACACCGCCUGGGGAGUACGACCGCAAGGUUAAAACUCAAAUGAAUUGACGGGGACCCGCACAAGUAGUGGAGCAUGUGGUUUAAUUCGAAGCUACGCGCAGAACCUUACCAACACUUGACAUGUCUGUCGCGGAAUUCAGAGAUGAAUUCUUUCGGUUCGGCCGGACGAAACACAGGUGCUGCAUGGCU
rnacentral:rRNA from 1 species